UAUAAUUAAGUCGUGAUUUUUUUCCUUUGCUGUCUCCCUUCCUUUAUUCCCCAGUUCCCAUCUGAUUAUUUGAAACUCGUCCAGCAGUGGCACGGGAAGGAAUUUUUCUCGAAACUCCUGAAAAACAAAAAGAAAAAAAAAAAAAGGUGGGGGGAAUUAAAUCUUAAUUUUUUUGGGUUUUUUUUCCUUUUCAGUCAAGCUGUUCAGAGAAAGGAAUGUGGAGUGAAUCUUCCUGGAAUGUCUCUUUACAAGGAAUUUUUUGAACAGUUUGUUUUUUGUAAAUAGACACAAAUUCCUAAACUAUUAUCUCUCCAGAGAGCCUCCUCCUCCCCAGUUAACUCACAUAAAAUAAGGCUUUUUAAGCUGUUUCUGCUGCUCAGCCACCAGGCCAAAACCAAGUGCUAAAAUGAGCUGCUCGUGAAUAAACAUGAACUUCAAAUUAGGGAAAUUUUAACUGCCAGAGUCAAGAUUCUGGAGGUUUUGCAGGGAAGAUAUUGAAGGUAAGAAAGGAAAUCAGUUUUAAGGUAGAACCUCAUGACUUUAUGGCUGUGAGUACAGCUGAUGAGCUUUUCCAGUCUUAAUUCCAAUGUUCCCACUGUUAUUAUUAUUGUUAUUAGGGGAAAUAUUAAUAAAUAAUUUGGUUUUUCCUGGAGGAACCUCUGUCACCAUCAAUUCCAGGGUAAAAUGAUCAUUCCAGUGAAAUCUGGAGCUUGGAUUCUCAAGCAAACUCAGGGAAGUUGAAUUUCCAGCCCUGCUGGGCAUUUCCAUUUCCCCACAUCACCCCUCAACUGACAAAGGAAGUUGUCUGGGUUAAGAAAUCCAACUCCAGGGAUUGUUUUACUGCAUUUGACCUCAUGUGAAGGGAAAAAGAAACCAAGAGGCUCCAAAAUGGUGUCAAAAGUCCGAGGGGACACCGACCCCGGCCACCUCUGCUCCAGUUCUCUUUGCACUGCAGACCUGCUAAUCCAAAUAUUUUUGGAAAAUUCCAUCCCAGCUCCUCGGGGUGUUUUUCCUCUCUCCCCUGUUCCUGCUCAGCCAGCAGCCACGCUGGGAGCUGGAAUUCACCCACAUAACUGGAAUUCCCAGAUUCCUGCCUGGCCUGGGAGCUGCUGCUCCUCUGGAGGUGCCUGCCUGUAUUUGGAGAUCCCAUUCCAGCUGGCUCCUUCCUUCCCAGCAAAACCCACCUCAGCCCAACAACUGCCGGCCCUUCACCCUGCCCAGCUCCAGCAAACUUCACCCAAACCGCUAAAAUAUGAGUUAUGCAAAUGCCAGAUGUUCAGAAAGGCUUUUUUUAGCCCCGUUUCUGGGCGAGCUGUGCCUCGGUCAUCUGAAACUUCCUUUUUUUGGGGCUUGUUUAUGGCAGAGAUACGUUAUCUGCCUGACACUUUACUCAUACAAAUGCCAUUCACCAGGGAGCCUGAAUCAAAGACAGGCAAUGUUCCCUCUCAAAAUGUUAUUUUUAGAGUACUAAUGUUUACUAAAAGUUCAUAUAAAUAUUCUUUGUUCAAACUCGGCUAAAUUUAGCAGGGGGCAGUUUAAUAUUCACGGAGCCAUCGGGACAUUAUUCCCCUGGGAUUGUUUAGUUCCUGGGUGCCUGCUGACCUUUCUGCUGCAGAAAGUGACUCAUAUCUUCUGCGGCUUUAAUUCAGAAUUUUAAUCCUCCCCUAAUCAUAAGACAUUGUUUAUGGGAUGGGCAAGGUUAUGCCAAGGUUAUGCCUGCCCGGAGGGGACGUCAGAGGCAAGAAAUGGGAGUCAUUUUCACUUGGGAAUGUUGAAAUUUGGAGUUACUUAUUCUUUGCAGGACUCUGGGGGAGUUGGGUGGCUCAGAGUCGUUCUCCAAGGCUGGGGAGCUUCCCAAGGCUCCGUGUUUGAAGGAGAACAGGGAAGCAGAACCAUCCGGAGAGGAGAAUUUGCCGUGAGCCUCAGUGAGGGCAGCAGCUCAGAGCGAGGGAAAUGAGGGCAGUGGAAUAGCAGACUUAAUUAGUGUGAGGUUUAAAUGGCUGAAACCUCCUCCUGGUGGCUCCCAGCCAGGAGCUGCCACCAUCAGGGUGACAUUCCAGCUGCUGGAGAUCCCAUGGGAGAGCUCACAUGGAGGGCUUGGACAAGGCAGGGCUGGGGCUGAGGAAAAGACAGAGGGGAAAAAAACACGGGGGUUUCUAGACCAGUGGUUCCAGACUGGUGGUUCCAGACUGGU